rnacentral:snoRNA from 1 species
GUAAGCCAGUGAUGUGAUGUUAUCCCUGUCUGAAAACUCAGCCGUGAGGGGAAAAACAAAUAUUCUGAGGCUUUU